GUGAAUCAUCCAUUUGUACCGUAGACAGUAGGAGUGACUUGUCACUUAAUGAUCCUACCGAGGACAUAGGAGUUCGGAUUCUUUUAAGAUGAUGACUUUCUGCCCUUAUGUCUACUAGACAUAAGGGCUUUUCUUUUGUCGGU
rfam:Lysinibacillus odysseyi 34hs-1 = NBRC 100172 contig11, whole genome shotgun sequence.